rnacentral:rRNA from 1 species
GUACACUCCUGCGGGAGGCAGCAGUGGGGAAUAUUGGACAAUGGGCGCAAGCCUGAUCCAGCCAUGCCGCGUGAGUGAUGAAGGCCCUAGGGUUGUAAAGCUCUUUCACCGGAGAAGAUAAUGACGGUAUCCGGAGAAGAAGCCCCGGCUAACUUCGUGCCAGCAGCCGCGGUAAUACGAAGGGGGCUAGCGUUGUUCGGAAUUACUGGGCGUAAAGCGCACGUAGGCGGAUCGAUCAGUCAGGGGUGAAAUCCCAGGGCUCAACCCUGGAACUGCCUUUGAUACUGUCGAUCUGGAGUAUGGAAGAGGUGAGUGGAAUUCCGAGUGUAGAGUUGAAAUUCGUAGAUAUUCGGAGGAACACCAGUGGCGAAGGCGGCUCACUGGUCCAUUACUGACGCUGAGGUGCGAAAGCGUGGGGAGCAAACAGGAUUAGAAACCCGAGUAGUCCC